UCAAUUUCUCAUUCCUUUCCAGACUCCAAUCUCUCCCGUUGCAAUUCAAAAAUUAUCUUACAAGUUACUUCCAUAUUCUAUCUCUGAGUCUCGACACCACAAUUUGACUAUUGCUCUGCCAGAAAUUGCUGCAGCCUCUAAGCCUCUAUGAAUCGUAGCUUUCCAUCCUCUAGUGCCUAAAUCUUAUAUUAAUUAUCUAUGGGAAUAUAGUGUCACUUUGUAAUUCAUGAUUUGUAAUUUGUAGUUUGCUAAACUUUUGUAAUUUGUAACUUUUAUUCUUUGAAUUGAAUCUAAUAUGUUAAACCUUUGUAAUUUUUGUUCCUGUCUUCCUCUUUCUUGAAUUGUGGUCGUUUUGAAUCCGAAUUAUUGAUCUCUUUUUCAUUGUUUGCUGUCCAUUUUUUAUAAGUUACAAUGCAAUAUUAUUUAAAAGUCCAAACCGAGAAACCAAACCAAAUCAAACCGAACCGAAGUGGUUUGGGUUGGUUUGGUUUGAGAGUUAGAGUGGGUUGGUUUUGGU
rnacentral:lncRNA from 1 species